rnacentral:rRNA from 1 species
CAGUAGCCGCGGUAAUACGUAGGUGGCAAGCGUUGUCCGGAAUUAUUGGGCGUAAAGGGCUCGCAGGCGGCUUCUUAAGUCUGAUGUGAAAGCCCCCGGCUCAACCGGGGAGGGUCAUUGGAAACUGGGAAACUUGAGUGCAGAAGAGGAGAGUGGAAUUCCACGUGUAGCGGUGAAAUGCGUAGAGAUGUGGAGGAACACCAGUGGCGAAGGCGACUCUUUGGUCUGUAACUGACGCUGAGGAGCGAAAGCGUGGGGAGCGAACAGGAUUAGAUACCCGAGUAGUCCCUGUCUCUUAUAC